UAAUACAUGCAAGUCGAGCGCAGGAAGCUGACGGAACUCUUCGGAGGGAAGGCAGUGGAAUGAGCGGCGGACGGGUGAGUAACACGUAAGGAACCUGCCUCAAGGAUUGGGAUAACUCCGAGAAAUCGGAGCUAAUACCGGAUAGUUCAACGGACCGCAUGGUCCGCUGAUGAAAGGCGCUUCGGCGUCACCUUGAGAUGGCCUUGCGGUGCAUUAGCUAGUUGGUGGGGUAACGGCUCACCAAGGCGACGAUGCAUAGCCGACCUGAGAGGGUGAUCGGCCACACUGGGACUGAGACACGGCCCAGACUCCUACGGGAGGCAGCAGUAGGGAAUCUUCCACAAUGGACGAAAGUCUGAUGGAGCAACGCCGCGUGAGUGAUGAAGGUUUUCGGAUCGUAAAACUCUGUUGUAAGGGAAGAACACGUACGAGAGGUAAUGCUCGUACCUUGACGGUACCUUACGAGAAAGCCACGGCUAACUACGUGCCAGCAGCCGCGGUAAUACGUAGGUGGCAAGCGUUGUCCGGAAUUAUUGGGCGUAAAGCGCGCGCAGGCGGCCUUUUAAGUCUGAUGUGAAAGCCCCCGGCUCAACCGGGGAGGGCCAUUGGAAACUGGAAGGCUUGAGUACAGAAGAGAAGAGUGGAAUUCCACGUGUAGCGGUGAAAUGCGUAGAGAUGUGGAGGAACACCAGUGGCGAAGGCGACUCUUUGGUCUGUAACUGACGCUGAGGCGCGAAAGCGUGGGGAGCAAACAGGAUUAGAUACCCUGGUAGUCCACGCCGUAAACGAUGAGUGCUAGGUGUUGGGGGGUUUCCGCCCCUCAGUGCUGAAGCUAACGCAUUAAGCACUCCGCCUGGGGAGUACGGCCGCAAGGCUGAAACUCAAAGGAAUUGACGGGGACCCGC
rnacentral:rRNA from 1 species